rnacentral:rRNA from 1 species
CGUAGGGUGCGAGCGUUAUUCGGAAUUAUUGGGCGUAAAGGGCGCGUAGGCGGCCCUGCAAGUCAAAGGUGAAAUCCCUCGGCUCAACUGAGGAACUGCCUUUGAAACUGCAGGGCUUGAGUCCGGGAGGGGGUAGCGGAAUUCCCAGUGUAGCGGUGAAAUGCGUAGAUAUUGGGAGGAACACCAGUGGCGAAGGCGGCUACCUGGACCGGAACUGACGCUGAUGCGCGAAAGCGUGGGUAGCAAACAGGAUUAGAUACCCUGGUAGUCCACGCUGUAAACGAUGGGUGCUCGGUGUCGCGGGUAUCGACCCCUGCGGUGCCUUAGCCAACGCGUUAAGCACCCCGCCUGGGGAGUACGGUCACAAGGCUG